rnacentral:rRNA from 1 species
CCUACGGGAGGCAGCAGUGAGGAAUAUUGGUCAAUGGGCGCGAGCCUGAACCAGCCAAGUCGCGUAAGGGAAGACGGUCCUCUGGAUUGUAAACCUCUUUUGUCGGGGAGCAAAAGACGCCACGCGUGGCGUUCCGAGAGUACCCGAAGAACAAGCCUAGGCUAACUCCGUGCCAGCAGCCGCGGUAAUACGGAGGAUGCGAGCGUUAUCCGGAUUUAUUGGGUUUAAAGGGUGCGCAGGCGGAAGAUCAAGUCAGCGGUAAAAUUGAGAGGCUCAACCUCUUCGAGCCGUUGAAACUGGUUGUCUUGAGGGAGUGAGAAGGAUGCGGAAUGCGUGGUGUAGCGGUGAAAUGCAUAGAUAUCACGCAGAACUCCGAUUGCGAAGGCAGCAGACCGGCGCUCAACUGACGCUCAUGCACGAAAGUGUGGGUAUCGAACAGGAUGAGAUACCCGAGUAGUC